UGGGGAUGAUUUUCUCCGCCACGGACGCCGACGACGGAUUUUCUUCGACACGGGGCCCUUAACGCUAUCGCGUUAAAAUAGUAUGGCGGUUGGGUUUGUCAUGUGCAUUCCUUGGCUUCGGUUAUUGUCUCCCGUCAGAAAUUGCGGAAUCACGGGCCCUUCUGCACAACCUAUUGUGUUGCACUUUGUUCCUGCGGUUUGCUUUUUCGCUCAGAUAAGACAUUGUAUUUAUUUCGCCUUUUCCAGAAUGAUUCCAGUGAACAGAAGAAUUCCAGUGAACAUUUCUGGCGCUCUGUCAAGAUUGCUCUUCACGUAGUGUGAAGAGCGCGGUGGGCCGUAUACUUCAUUGAGUCCGGUGCCGAGUCUCGCGAGAUCUCGAGAAAGUGAAAUCAUUGUAAGUGAUCGCCCAAGAAUACGCUCUUACCUAUGCUAAACGAUGAAAAACAGAAAGAUAAAGGCAUACUACCAAUGGCGGUCACAAGUGGGGCUGGUUGUAAUGUCGUUUUCAUUUACUAGAUUGCACCUGACGUCAUAAUAUUCGAGGGAAGCGCCCAUAGAAGUGUCGAUGUCUUCCUCUGCCGAACAAGAAGGCGGCAGAUGUCAUGAUGAGUUAUACUCCUAGGAGUACUCUACACGGCUGAUAAGCUACAAUUUACCAUAGACCAUGGCAGCCUUUGACGGUGUGCCGAAUAGAACUGCAAGGCUUCGCGUCCCCAUCUCUUUCAGCGUGCUUCUCACGUACACGUGCGAUGUCUUUUCUUUUUUCAACGAUGCCAUGAACGAACGGCGCGAGUGGUCGUGUCGGACACCAAUCUGUCAAGCAAUGACGAUGCUGGCCUUUCGUGCAUCGUCACCAGGACCAGCGGGGGAGGAAUCACUGUGGCCGACAGUGCUAGCCCGACCAGCAAGACCUGGUGGUCAGCUGUUCUAGAGGCCUGGUGACUUGCCCGCCCUGUGGAUAUGGUGGCCAGCUGUUCUAGCGACCUGGUAUCAUGCUGUCUGCCCUGCGCUCCUUGUGGCAAGAUCUUGCAGUGCCUGCUGCCUUGCUGCGUGACUUGCGGAUCUUGUGGCUAGCUCUUCAAGCGACCUGCGGACCAAGUGGAUGGUAGCUCUGGUGCCCUGGUGUCUCGUUGCAUGUCCUGCGGACCUGGCAGCAAGAAAUUCAAGUGGCGUGGUAUGCUGCUCAUCACAAGAUCGCAAGCGCGGCAUGGAAUCACAAGAGGCA